GAGGGAAGAUAGGGUCCGGUGGCUCUGCUGGACUUCAAAUCCAGUUAGGGGUGGUUACCAUCCCUGGUGGGUUCGACUCCCACCUUCCCUCGCCA
rnacentral:tRNA from 1 species